rnacentral:lncRNA from 1 species
UGCAUCCUCUCUGCAUCCGUCAAGGGCUCCUGGACAAAAAAGAGGAGAAGCCUGAGACUCAACUCCAGACCUGGCCUCCUGGUUGGCUCACACUGCAGCAGAGCACCUCAGCUGGCUGUCACGGGAAGCAGUUAGUGCACUGCCUCCUCAGGCUUCUUCAGAGGCCAGAGCUGGAUGCCUUUCCUCUACCAGCACCUGGGGGGGCAGCUUCCCACAGCGUGGGCAUGGAUAGUCCAAUGGGCUGACUGAUACAGGGAUCAAUCCUGCGAGCUGUAAAGACUAGGGCUCCCUGACAUGUGAACACAUGCACAGCCCUCCGCCAGCACUACUGCAGCUGUAUCAGCACAGUGAGUAUCUCGCCUCAGCACUGCUGAGAGGCCGGCCACAGAUGCCUUCAAGGGCCUGCUUCUGCCCCUGCUUCUGUCAGCCAGGGCCAGACCCCAGCCCUGCUGACCUGUUGCUCAAGCCGGGACACAGGGGUUUCCAGGCGCAGCUCUCGAUGCUCGGGAGGUGCCUUCCGGUAAGGUUUCUUAGCAGGGGCAGCACUGGUCAUCCUGGAAGGUGUUGGCUCGGUGACCUGCUGAGAGAAGCCAGGAACAAACGGGCUAAAAGAUGUAGUUUAGAGGCUCUCAAGGGUCACUGAGAUGGCUUGGGGAGGGUAAGGCACUUACUGCUCCUGACCAGAACCCAUUAGAAGACAACUAUCUCCCAUCAGCCAUCUUUCCUGUAUAGGGGGUACUGUGGCACAUGCGCACCCGUGCCUACCCACUCCCUCACAUGCAAAAUAAAUUAAUGAAA